rnacentral:hammerhead_ribozyme from 1 species
GCAUUUCUGACGAGUCCCAAACAGGACGAAACAGCUGUCCAGUGC